GACGAACGCUGGCGGCAGGCUUAACACAUGCAAGUCGAGCGCCCCGCAAGGGGAGCGGCGGACGGGUGAGUAACGCGUGGGAAUCUGCCCUUUGGUGUGGGACAACCACGGGAAACUGUGGCUAAUACCGCAUGAGCCCGAGAGGGGAAAGCAGCAAUGCGCCGAAGGAUGAGCCCGCGUCGGAUUAGCUAGUUGGCGGGGUAAUGGCCCACCAAGGCGAUGAUCCGUAGCUGGUCUGAGAGGAUGAUCAGCCACACUGGGACUGAGACACGGCCCAGACUCCUACGGGAGGCAGCAGUGGGGAAUAUUGGACAAUGGGGGAAACCCUGAUCCAGCCAUGCCGCGUGAGUGAUGAAGGCCUUAGGGUUGUAAAGCUCUUUCGACGGGGACGAUGAUGACGGUACCCGUAGAAGAAGCCCCGGCUAACUUCGUGCCAGCCGCCGCGGUAA
rnacentral:rRNA from 1 species